rnacentral:rRNA from 1 species
AACGAACGCUGGCGGCAUGCCUAACACAUGCAAGUCGAACGAGACCUUCGGGUCUAGUGGCGCACGGGUGCGUAACGCGUGGGAACCUGCCCUUAGGUUCGGAAUAACUCCCCGAAAGGGGUGCUAAUACCGGAUAAUGUCUUCGGACCAAAGAUUUAUCGCCUUUGGAUGGGCCCGCGUUGGAUUAGCUAGUUGGUAGGGUAAAAGCCUACCAAGGCGACGAUCCAUAGCUGGUCUGAGAGGAUGAUCAGCCACACUGGGACUGAGACACGGCCCAGACCUCUGAGGGAGGGAGGGGGUGGGGAUUAUGGGAAAAGGGGGAAAGGCUUAACCAAGAAGGGCGGGGGGAGGAAGAAGGCCUUUGGGGUUGAAAAGUCUUUUGCCCCGGAAUGAAAAGGACGGUAGGGGGAAAAAAAGCCCGGGCUAACCCCGGG